UCCUGGACCAGCUGUUUACUAGGUCUUGUCAUCCACCGUCCAUCCCAAGGGAUGCCCUCAUAGCCUCCUUGACAUCUGGAGGCAUCUCCCCUUAUUCCAGCCAGGAGGGCAGAGCGCAGGACCACCUAAAAAAUGCCAUCUCUUCUCUGGUGGAAACCUGCCUGGACCCAUUGCAGGAUUUCUGGGAGCUCCUGCACUAUCCCUGCUUCAGCAUGAAGCUGGCCUCUCUGCAUCUCAGCUUGCCUGGCUCGGGGCUGC